rnacentral:rRNA from 1 species
UAAUGAGAGUUUGAUCCUGGCUCAGGACGAACGCUGGCGGCGUGCCUAAUACAUGCAAGUAGAACGCUGAAGAGAGGAGCUUGCUCUUCUUGGAUGAGUUGCGAACGGGUGAGUAACGCGUAGGUAACCUGCCUUGUAGCGGGGGAUAACUAUUGGAAACGAUAGCUAAUACCGCAUAACAAUGGAUGACACAUGUCAUUUAUUUGAAAGGGGCAAUUGCUCCACUACAAGAUGGACCUGCGUUGUAUUAGCUAGUAGGUGAGGUAAUGGCUCACCUAGGCGACGAUACAUAGCCGACCUGAGAGGGUGAUCGGCCACACUGGGACUGAGACACGGCCCAGACUCCUACGGGAGGCAGCAGUAGGGAAUCUUCGGCAAUGGGGGCAACCCUGACCGAGCAACGCCGCGUGAGUGAAGAAGGUUUUCGGAUCGUAAAGCUCUGUUGUAAGUCAAGAACGGGUGUGAGAGUGGAAAGUUCACACUGUGACGGUAGCUUACCAGAAAGGGACGGCUAACUACGUGCCAGCAGCCGCGGUAAUACGUAGGUCCCGAGCGUUGUCCGGAUUUAUUGGGCGUAAAGCGAGCGCAGGCGGUUUGAUAAGUCUGAAGUUAAAGGCUGUGGCUCAACCAUAGUUCGCUUUGGAAACUGUCAAACUUGAGUGCAGAAGGGGAGAGUGGAAUUCCAUGUGUAGCGGUGAAAUGCGUAGAUAUAUGGAGGAACACCGGUGGCGAAAGCGGCUCUCUGGUCUGUAACUGACGCUGAGGCUCGAAAGCGUGGGGAGCGAACAGGAUUAGAUACCCUGGUAGUCCACGCCGUAAACGAUGAGUGCUAGGUGUUGGAUCCUUUCCGGGAUUCAGUGCCGCAGCUAACGCAUUAAGCACUCCGC